rnacentral:rRNA from 1 species
AUGAGUUAAGUAUAAACCCCUUUACAAGUAUCAAUUGGAGGGCAAGUCUGGUGCCAGCAGCCGCGGUAAUUCCAGCUCCAAUAGCGUAUAUUAAAGUUGUUGCAGUUAAAAAGCUCGUAGUUGGAUUUCUGUUAAUAAUUUAUAUAUAAUAUUUUACGAUAUUUAUAUAAUAUUAACAUAAUUCAUAUUACUUUUAUUAGUAUAUGAAAUUUUACUUUGAGAAAAUUAGAGUGCUUAAAGCAGGCAUUUGCCUUGAAUACUCCAGCAUGGAAUAAUAUAAAAGAUUUUUAUCUUUUUUUAUUGGUUCUAAGAUAAAAAUAAUGAUUAAUAGGGACAGUUGGGGGCAUUUGUAUUUAACAGUCAGAGGUGAAAUUCUUAGAUUUGUUAAAGACAAACUAGUGCGAAAGCAUUUGCCAAGGAUGUUUUCAUUAAUCAAGAACGAAAGUUAGGGGAUCGAAGACGAUCAGAUACCGUCGUAGU